GACGAACGCUGGCGGCGUGCUUAACACAUGCAAGUCGAGCGGAGCGGCGCACGGGUGAGUAACGCGUGAGUAAAUGCCCCCCUCUAUGGGAUAACAGUUGGAAACGGCUGCUACUACCGGAUAGUGGGGGAUGACUCGCGUACUAUCGGCUGGUUGGUGGGGUAGUGGCCUACCAAGGCGACGACUGGUAGCCGGCCUGCGAGGGCGACCGGCACCCUUGGGCUGAGAGACGGCCCAAACUCCUACGGGAGGCAGCAGUGGGGAAUAUUGCACAAUGGGGGAAACGCUGAUGCAGCAACGCCGCGUGCGGGAUGACGGCUUUCGGGUUGUAAACCGCUUUCAGCCAUGACGCGGUAGUGGCAGAAGAAGCACCGGCUAACUACGUGCCAGCAGCCGCGGUAAUUC
rnacentral:rRNA from 1 species